rnacentral:rRNA from 1 species
AGGACGAACGCUGGCGGCGUGCUUAACACAUGCAAGUCGAGCGGAAAGGCCCUUCGGGGUACUCGAGCGGCGAACGGGUGAGUAACACGUGAGUAAUCUGCCUUCAGCUCUGGGAUAGCUCCGGGAAACCGGGAUUAAUACCGGAUAUGACCACUUCGGACAUCUGUUGUGGUGGAAAGUUUUUCGGCUGGAGAUGAGCUCGCGGCCUAUCAGCUUGUUGGUGGGGUAAAGGCCUACCAAGGCGACGACGGGUAGCCGGCCUGAGAGGGCGACCGGCCACACUGGGACUGAGACACGGCCCAGACUCCUACGGGAGGCAGCAGUGGGGAAUAUUGCGCAAUGGGCGGAAGCCUGACGCAGCGACGCCGCGUGGGGGAUGAAGGCCUUCGGGUUGUAACCCCUUUCAGCAGGGACGAAGCGCAAGUGACGGUACCUGCAGAAGAAGCGCCGGCUAACUACGUGCCAGCAGCCGC